CAGGCUAGAAACCAAACUGCACGCCUCCUGAAAGGGAGGAAGCCUUCGAGGGUGUUUGGCAGGUGAUGCAUGGUCGUCGUCAGUUCGUGGCUUGAGCUGUUCCCUUCAGUGGGGUAACGAACGCAACCCUCGUUGUCUGUUAUAUAUGUCAGGCGAGACUGCCCCCUCACGGGGGAGGAAGGUGAGGAUGACGCCAGAUCAGCAUGUCCCUUGAUGCCUGGGGCCGCACA
rnacentral:rRNA from 1 species